AUGGACUUCUGCCCGGCGUGCGGGAUGCUGCUGCAGAUCCAGCCGGCCACCGGCGGCCACCGCCUGCGCCUCUUCUGCCCCACCUGCCCGUACGUCUGCCCCAUCAAAAACAAGAUCGUGAAGAAGGCGAGGCUGGUCAAGAGGGAGGUGGAGUCCGCGGAAUCUGCCCCCAAGACUGACGGUGAGCCCAAGGAAUCGGUCCCCAAGACUGACGGUGAGCCCAAGGCCGAGGGUCAGCUCAAGCAAUCUGCCCCCAAGACUGAGGGUGCAUGA
rnacentral:rRNA from 1 species